rnacentral:rRNA from 1 species
AGGGCCGCAGUAAUUUGACUGUGCGAAGGUAGCAUAAUCAUUAGUCUUUUAAUUGGAGGCUUGUAUGAAUGGUUGGAUGAGGGAUGAACUGUCUUGCGUGUAUUGUUUGAAUUUAACUUUUAAGUGAAAAGGCUUAGAUUAUUUAGGGGGACGAUAAGACCCUAUAAAACUUAAUAUUGAUGUUUAUAAAUUAUGGAUAAAGUUUAAAAUGAUUUUUGGGUUUUAAUAUUUCAUUGGGGCGAUGAAGAUAUAAUAAUUAACUGUUUUGUAAAUUAAAUAAUAAUUAUUAGAUAAUGAUCCUAUAUUAUGGAUUAUAAGAUCAAGUUACUUUAGGGAUAACAGCGUAAUUUUCUUUGAGAGUUCUUAUCGACAAGAGUAGUUGCGACCUCGAUGUUGAAUUAAAAUUUCAGCUGGGUGAAGCAGCUCAGCUAGUAGGUCUGUUCGACCUUUAAAAUUUUA